rnacentral:rRNA from 1 species
GGUUCGAUUAUGGCUCAGAUUGAACGCUGGCGGGAUGCUUUACACAUGCAAGUCGAACGGCAGCACGGACUUCGGUCUGGUGGCGAGUGGCGAACGGGUGAGUAAUGUAUCGGAACGUGCCUAGUAGCGGGGGAUAACUACGCGAAAGCGUAGCUACUACCGCAUACUGCCCUUCGGGGGAAAGCGGGGACCUUCGGGCCUCGCACUAUUAGAGCGGCCGAUAUCGGAUUAGCUAGUUGGUGGGGUAACGGCUCACCAAGGUGACGAUCCGUAGCUGGUUUGAGAGGACGACCAGCCACAUUGGGACUGAGACACGGCCCAGACUCCUACGGGAGGCAGCAGUGGGGAAUUUUGGACAAUGGGGGAACCCUGAUCCAGCCAUCCCGCGUGUGCGAUGAAGGCCUUCGGGUUGUAAAGCACUUUUGGCAGGAAAGAAAACGGCACGGAUAACACCCGUGCAACUGACGCGGCACUGCAGAAAGGCGCACCACAACUAGUCAGCCAGCAGCCGCGGCAAUGGCCGUGAGGUGCAAGUGUUAACUGAAUCACAUUUUGGCGCGAAGGCAGGCGGUUCGGAAAGAAAGAUGUGAAACUCAGAGCUUAACUUUGGAACUGCAUUUUUAACUACCGAGCUAGAGUGUCAGAGGGAGGUGGAAUUCCGCGUGUAGCAGUGAAACGGUAGACAUGGAGGAACACCAUUACGAAGCGCAGCCUCCUGGGAUGACACUGACGCUCAUGCACGAAAGCGUGGGGAGCAAACAGGAUUAGAUACCCCAGAACCACGCCCAAACGACACAACUUAGCUGUUGUGCCUUCGGGCUCUUGGUAGCGCAGCUAAUCGCGCGUUGACCGCCUGGGGAGUACGGUCGCAAGAUUAAAACUCAAAGGAAUUGACGGGACCCGGCACAAGCAGAUGAGCCGGAUGACCUGAUGCACCAGGCGAAAAACCCCACCCACCUUGACAGCGUCUGGAAUCCCCACAGAUUUGGGGAGUGCUCGCAAGAGAACCGGAACACAGGUGCUGCAUGGCUGUCGUCAGCUCGUGUCGUGAGAUGUUGGGUUAAGUCCCGCAACGAGCGCAACCCUGUCAUUAGUUGCUACGAAAGGGCACUCUGACGUAGACUGGCAGACAAAACCGGAUAGCUGUGGAUACCGGCGCUCCCAGCGUCUCAGGGUAGGGAUUCACACGUCAUACAAUGGUCGGGACAGAGGGUCGCCAACCCGCGAGGGGGAGCCAAUCCCAGAAACCCGAUCGUAGUCCGGAUCGCAGUCUGCAACCUGACUGGUGAAGUCGGAAUCGCUAGUAAUCGCGGAUCAGCAUGUCGCGGUAACAUGUCCGGCCCGUACACACCAUCACACACCAUGGGAGUGGGUUUUACCAGAAGUAGUUAGCCUAACCGUAAGGAGGGCGAUUACCACGGUAGGAUUCAUGACUGGGGUGAAGUCGUAACAAGGUAA